GGCUAAAGGCGAUAGACUCAAGAUCUAUUCCCGCAGGGGUCCAGGGGUUCAAAUCCCUUCCCCCGCA
rnacentral:tRNA from 1 species